rnacentral:rRNA from 1 species
CGAAUGCUGACAUAAGUAACGAUAAAGCGGGUGAAAAGCCCGCUCGCCGGAAGACCAAGGGUUCCUGUCCAACGUUAAUCGGGGCAGGGUGAGUCGACCCCUAAGGCGAGGCCGAAAGGCGUAGUCGAUGGGAAACAGGUUAAUAUUCCUGUACUUGGUGUUACUGCGAAGGGGGGACGGAGAAGGCUAUGUUGGCCGGGCGACGGUUGUCCCGGUUUAAGCGUGUAGGCUGGUUUUCCAGGCAAAUCCGGAAAAUCAAGGCUGAGGCGUGAUGACGAGGCACUACGGUGCUGAAGCAACAAAUGCCCUGCUUCCAGGAAAAGCCUCUAAGCAUCAGGUAACAUCAAAUCGUACCCCAAACCGACACAGGUGGUCAGGUAGAGAAUACCAAGGCGCUUGAGAGAACUCGGGUGAAGGAACUAGGCAAAAUGGUGCCGUAACUUCGGGAGAAGGCACGCUGAUAUGUAGGUGAAGUCCCUCGCGGAUGGAGCUGAAAUCAGUCGAAGAUACCAGCUGGCUGCAACUGUUUAUUAAAAACACAGCACUGUGCAAACACGAAAGUGGACGUAUACGGUGUGACGCCUGCCCGGUGCCGGAAGGUUAAUUGAUGGGGUCAGCGCAAGCGAAGCUCUUGAUCGAAGCCCCGGUAAACGGCGGCCGUAACUAUAACGGUCCUAAGGUAGCGAAAUUCCUUGUCGGGUAAGUUCCGACCUGCACGAAUGGCGUAAUGAUGGCCAGGCUGUCUCCACCCGAGACUCAGUGAAAUUGAACUCGCUGUGAAGAUGCAGUGUACCCGCGGCAAGACGGAAAGACCCCGUGAACCUUUACUAUAGCUUGACACUGAACAUUGAGCCUUGAUGUGUAGGAUAGGUGGGAGGCUUUGAAGUGUGGACGCCAGUCUGCAUGGAGCCGACCUUGAAAUACCACCCUUUAAUGUUUGAUGUUCUAACGUGGACCCGUAAUCCGGGUUGCGGACAGUGUCUGGUGGGUAGUUUGACUGGGGCGGUCUCCUCCUAAAGAGUAACGGAGGAGCACGAAGGUUGGCUAAUCCUGGUCGGACAUCAGGAGGUUAGUGCAAUGGCAUAAGCCAGCUUGACUGCGAGCGUGACGGCGCGAGCAGGUGCGAAAGCAGGUCAUAGUGAUCCGGUGGUUCUGAAUGGAAGGGCCAUCGCUCAACGGAUAAAAGGUACUCCGGGGAUAACAGGCUGAUACCGCCCAAGAGUUCAUAUCGACGGCGGUGUUUGGCACCUCGAUGUCGGCUCAUCACAUCCUGGGGCUGAAGUAGGUCCCAAGGGUAUGGCUGUUCGCCAUUUAAAGUGGUACGCGAGCUGGGUUUAGAACGUCGUGAGACAGUUCGGUCCCUAUCUGCCGUGGGCGCUGGAGAACUGAGGGGGGCUGCUCCUAGUACGAGAGGACCGGAGUGGACGCAUCACUGGUGUUCGGGUUGUCAUGCCAAUGGCACUGCCCGGUAGCUAAAUGCGGAAGAGAUAAGUGCUGAAAGCAUCUAAGCACGAAACUUGCCCCGAGAUGAGUUCUCCCUGACUCCUUGAGAGUCCUGAAGGAACGUUGAAGACGACGACGUUGAUAGGCCGGGUGUGUAAGCGCAGCGAUGCGUUGAGCUAACCGGUACUAAUGAACCGUGAGG